rnacentral:sRNA from 1 species
CCAUAGCCUCGAUAGUAGCGACAUCCUAUUGUGGCGGGGUUCGCCGCAAUAGAUAUAGCGAAUAGCGGGAUUAGCU